GAUGAACGCUAGCGGGAGGCCUAACACAUGCAAGCCGAGCGGUAGAGUUUCUUCGGAAACUUGAGAGCGGCGCACGGGUGCGUAACACGUGUGCAACCUACCUUUAUCUGGGGGAUAGCCUUUCGAAAGGAAGUAUAAUACCCCAUACUAUAAUGAUUGGCAUCAAUUAUUAUUGAAAACUCCGGUGGAUAGAGAAGGGCACGCGCAAGAUUAGAUAGUUGGUGAGGUAACGGCUCACCAAGUCAAUGAUCUGUAGGGGUCCUGAGAGAGAGAUCCCCCACACUGGUACUGAGACACGGACCAGACUCCUACGGGAGGCAGCAGUGAGGAAUAUUGGACAAUGGGUGAGAGCCUGAUCCAGCCAGCCCGCGUGAAGGAUGACGGCCCUAUGGAUUGUAAACUUCUUUUGUACAGGGAUAAACCUACCCUCGUGAGGGUAGCUGAAGGUACUGUACGAAUAAGCACCGGCUAACUCCGUG
rnacentral:rRNA from 1 species